AGGCCGGUCACUCACUCGGAUACGCCGGCACGGACGAAGGCCAUAGCAACAGCCCAACUAGAAGGACUAAGGACUUCAUAGGCAUCGUCCGUAGCACUCCGCCAUGCGACGGGAACGUCCUGGGGCCACCAGGCCAGGUCAAGUGACUUGCCCAAGAUCACACAGAAACUAACUCAGCAGAAACUUAAACUGGUCUUCUGACUCUGACAUCGUACUUUCCACAACUGCACAAUCGUCUUUCAUCAUCUGUUCUUGCUCAUUUUUCAAGUGUAAUUUAAGGUCUUAAAGAUUUGGGUCUAGAAGUUCAGCUGCAAAAGAAUUUAUUGUUUAAAAGGCAAAAUGUUUUUUAUGUGCAAAAAUUUAUUUUGCCCAAAAGUUACUGUGGUUCUCCCAAAUGUUUUCUUUUUCUUUCUUUCCAAGUAUAAUUUAAUGUCUUUGAGACAUUCCAGACAGCUCCUCCAUAAACUGUGGGCCCCUCUGGAAUGCUCUUCAAUGAGUGCGUAGGUGAGCUUGUUGGGAGCUAUAUCGGAAGCAGGAAUAUUCAGGCUCACAGACAAGGUGAGACCAACACAGAAAAUAAUCCCAAGAGUUAACUGCAGUGGUUGGGGAGAGACCCAUAGCAUGAAGAUUUUGUACUCAUAUUGCACAUCUACAUGGCCGAUUCCAUCUUGGCCCAAUAUUUAGAUAGACCCUAGGCAUUGUCACAGAAUGGUCCAUUUUGCUGCUAAUGACAAUUGGCAGGUGGAGGUGUUUUUCAUGUCCAGUGAAGGCAUGGGUUGCUAAAAACCUUUCUAUUUUCUUCCCAGGCUAGGUCUACCAUUUAGUGUUGAAGCAUACUGAUGUCAUAAGCCUAUGAACAUCAUAGACGUGUUACUACUCUCUGCUUUCAAGGACAGACAUUUAUGAGGUUUUUUCUCCCCCAUGGGGAGGGAAGAUAAAACCAUGUCAGUACAAACACUUUAUAUUUAUUACUAAACAUGGUAAACUAGGGUGCAUGUUUAACUUUCGUUUUAGUUUAACACAUUCUGGUCCUAGGUAGCAGUGGGUUUUCAAUGAACAGUUUCGGAACGUUUUCUGCUCUUACCAUCGAAAAAGUUGUACAGCUUAGCUUGAACAAUUUUGCUUGUUUGUUUACUAAUUUGUAGAAGAAUGAACUCAAAAUGUCAGACAUGUAAAAAGUGAAAUAUUUUAAUAAUAAUUCAAUUGAUACACAA